rnacentral:rRNA from 1 species
CUUGAACGCUGGCGGCAGGCCUAACACAUGCAAGUCGAACGAGUGGCGGACGGGUGAGUAAUGUCUGGGAAACUGCCCGAUGGAGGGGGAUAACUACUGGAAACGGUAGCUAAUACCGCAUACCAUCGGCUUUGCCCAGAUGGGAUUAGCGAGUAGGUGGGGUAACGGCUCACCUCGGCGACGAUCCCUAGCUGGUCUGAGAGGAUGACCAGCCACACUGGAACUGAGACACGGUCCAGACUCCUACGGGAGGCAGCAGUUGGGAAUAUUGCACAAUGGGCGCAAGCCUGAGGCAGCCAUGCCGCGGGUAUGAAGAAGGCCUUCGGGUUGUAAAGUACUUGCAGCGGGGAGGCGUUACUCGCAUAGGAAGCACCGGCUAACUCCGUGCCAGCCGCCGCGGUAAUUC